GCCGGGAUCGCAUAGUGGAAUUGCGCCGCCCUGAAGAGGCGGUUGGUCCCCACGACCACCGCGGGUUCGAACCCCGCUCCCGGCG
rnacentral:tRNA from 1 species